AGAGUUUGAUUAUGGCUCAGAACGAACGCUGGCGGCGUGGCUAAGACAUGCAAGUCGAACAGUUCAUUAAUUUAUUAGUGAAUAGUGGCGUAAGGGUUAGUAAUAGAUAGUUAACGUACCUCGAACUCCGGGAUAGCGUCUGAAAACUUCGGUUUUCUUCCGAAAGGGGCAGUAAUACCGGAUAAUAUCAUUUGCUUAAUGUGAAUGAUCAAAGAUUUAUCGGUUUGAGAGCGGACUAUCUCCUAUCAGCUAGUUGGUGAGGUAACGGCUCACCAAGGCAACGACGGGUAGCGGGACUGAGAGGUUGACCCGCAACAUCGGGACUGAGACACUGCCCGGACCUCCACGGAGGGCUGCAGUAACGAAUAUUGCGCAAUGGGCGAAAGCCUGACGCAGCGACGCCGCGUGUAGGAGGAAGUCCUUCGGGAUGUAAACUACUGUCAGGGGUAAGAAAGUGGGCUUCGGCUCAUUGAUCGAACCCAAAGGAAGUCACGGCUAACUUCGUGCCAGCAGCCGCGGUAAGACGAAGGUGGCUAGCGUUGUUCGGUGUUACUGGGCUUAAAGCGUAUGUAGGCGGAAUGGUAAGUGUCUUGUGAAAUCCCUCAGCUUAACUGAGGAAUCGCUCGGCAAACUGUCAUUCUUGAGGCAAGUAGGGGUACAUGGAACUCUUGGUGGAGCGGUGGAAUGCGUAGAUAUCAAGAGGAACGCCGAUGGUGAAAACAGUGUACUGGGCUUGUCCUGACGCUGAGAUACGAAAGCGUGGGUAGCGAACGGGAUUAGAUACCCCGGUAGUCCACGCCGUAAACGAUGUCUACUA
rnacentral:rRNA from 1 species